UAAGGAAAUCUGAGUCCAAGAGGGACAAGUC
rnacentral:piRNA from 1 species